GCUCGAUGUCGAGCGACUUCUUCAAGGUUGCAUUUUCAAGCCUCAAUCGCUCGACGAGGCCUUUCAAUUUAUUAAGGAAAGCUUCAUCGACCGUGCGCUUGUGUUCUUCCAUGGCUGCGGCAGAUAUUUGGCUGGAGGUCGAAGUGUCGGUAGACGCCAUAAUGACGUCACCGGCUCGUAUAGUUCGGGAUAUCUCGAUCGUCCGCGGUCUCACCCAGUCACGGCUCGCGUUAUCGUUUGACACUGCUUCGUUUUAAUCUAAAAAUAAAAACCUUUUAAAAAAAAGUCCUCGAUAAAUCCUCUAAAUAAUAACACAAGUUCACCAAAGCAUCCAAAACGUACAAUUUGAAUAUCGAAUUCAAACCGUAGAACGCGUUUUGCCUUUUCCCAA